rnacentral:rRNA from 1 species
AACGAACGCUGGCGGCAGGCCUAACACAUGCAAGUCGAGCGAAGCCUUCGGGCUUAGCGGCGGACGGGUGAGUAACGCGUGGGAACGUGCCCUUUGGUACGGAAUAGCCCCGGGAAACUGGGAGUAAUACCGUAUGUGGUCGAGAGACGAAAGAUUUAUCGCCAAAGGAUCGGCCCGCGUUGGAUUAGGUAGUUGGUGGGGUAAUGGCCUACCAAGCCGACGAUCCAUAGCUGGUUUGAGAGGAUGAUCAGCCACACUGGGACUGAGACACGGCCCAGACUCCUACGGGAAGCAGCAGUGGGGAAUCUUAGACAAUGGGGGAAACCCUGGUCUAGCCAUGCCGCGUGAUCGAUGAAGGCCUUAGGGUUGUAAAGAUCUUUCAGUGGGGAAGAUAAUGACUGUACCCACAGAAGAAGCCCCGGCUAACUCCGUGCCAGCCGCCGCUGUAACAC